UCCAUCUGGUGGUCUAGUGGUCAGGAUUUGGCGCUCUCACUGCCACGGCCUGGGUUUGAUUCCUGGUCAGGGAA